rnacentral:rRNA from 1 species
AUGGAUUGGUGCCUUCGGGAACUCUGAGACAGGUGCUGCAUGGCUGUCGUCAGCUCGUGUUGUGAAAUGUUGGGUUAAGUCCCGCAACGAGCGCAACCCUUAUCCUUUGUUGCCAGCGGUUAGGCCGGGAACUCAAAGGAGACUGCCAGUGAUAAACUGGAGGAAGGUGGGGAUGACGUCAAGUCAUCAUGGCCCUUACGAGUAGGGCUACACACGUGCUACAAUGGCGCAUACAAAGAGAAGCGACCUCGCGAGAGCAAGCGGACCUCAUAAAGUGCGUCGUAGUCCGGAUUGGAGUCUGCAACUCGACUCCAUGAAGUCGGAAUCGCUAGUAAUCGUGGAUCAGAAUGCCACGGUGAAUACGUUCCCGGGCCUUGUACACACCGCCCGUCACACCAUGGGAGUGGGUUGCAAAAGAAGUAGGUAGCUUAACCUUCGGGAGGGCGCUUACCACUUUGUGAUUCAUGACUGGGGUGAAGUCGUAACAAGGUAAGCGUAGUGCU